CCUAACAGUUCAGUUUAUCAUAAUCUUCCUCUAACCAGUUUUAUUGACACUUGACUUUGAAACUGUGCUCUCUUAAAGAAAAAGGCUCCAAUCAAGAAAUUCUCAAAGAUCCCUCAAAAUGAAAGCAAUACAGAAAAAUCAUAGAAACAUUAAGGUUGGAAAAGAACACUGCAAGCAUCAGUUCCAACUGUUGACACUUCACCACCAUGCCCACUAAAUCAGUGCAGGCUUUGCCCUUGCAAGAUCUCAGUUCCUCAAGCUCAAGGUUAUAUGCUUUUACCUAGGGCUCAAUCUGUCACAUCAUCUCCCAGAGUACCCUUAGUUUGCAAACACUUCUCAAAGCCAACACAUCCAGCAGUUGCACGUUGACAUUUACCCAAGAAACAAGACACAGAGGGUUGUUAGUUAGGGUAGUAUGGUUAGGUCACGGUUGGACUCAAUGAUCUUUAAGGUCUUUUGCAACCUGAGUGAUUCUAUCAUUAUCUAUUCCAAAGCUGCCGAUAUUGCACAGACAUUUAAACUUCCCAUUCCUAGGCUGUAAGAGCAAAGCUCUUUGUUUUGGAGUGCUUUGCCUUCAGAAGCAGUCUUAAAAUCCCUUAGAAAGUAACCAACCAUAUAAUGAUAAUACAGCUGUUAGACAUACGCAAUAAUACUUUUUGCCCAAUAUUCCAUGGAUUUGUCUACCAUAUGUUGCAUUUUAGCACAAACAACCUCAUGCUAUUUUCACCACAGUUUCAACACUCCUACUGAUUUUGGUUAGAGAGUGAAGUGCAUUGUGCUCAGCACUGCGAGAAUAAUUGAUUUCCUUGGUUUGUUAGUCAAACCAAUGACACUCACCGAGGGGCAGAGGGAAACUUACUCCAGGUUAAAUAAAACAUUUUGUUUUGAUAGUCCUUAAAAGGAGAGAAAAUUUAGCAAGUGCUGCUUGAGCUAAUAGUGUCACCUCAGUUCAAAACCCUUUUCUAGUUGAUCAGUUUAAGAGAAUUUUAGCCACUUUCCUCCACAACUGCCCUGAAAAGCCAACCCUAGGAACAUUCUCAACUGUUUCUACUAUUCUACUAUUUCUCCCCUCUGCUGAUGACUUACUUAAUACUGCCUGGAGUCAUGACCUGCACUGCAUCAUGCCUGGCGAUUGCCUGUAGCCAGUCUCAGAAUUGCUCAUCCUCCCUCCUUCAGAGCCUCAGUAAACGGUUGUUCUGCU
ensembl:lncRNA